GCCGGGUGCCGUGGCCCACGCCUGUCAUCCCAGCAGUUUGGGAGGCUGAGGCAGGAGGAUCGCCAGGUGGAGGCCAGCCUCUGCCACUUAGCAAAGCCCUGAGCAGCUCAGCGAGACCCUGUCUCUC
rnacentral:sRNA from 1 species